rnacentral:rRNA from 1 species
AUACGUAGGGGGCGAGCGUUGUCCGGAAUUAUUGGGCGUAAAGGGCGCGUAGGCGGAUAUUUAAGUCCGUUGUGAAAUACCAGGGCUUAACCCUGGGGGUGCAACGGAAACUGGGUAUCUUGAGUGCAGGAGAGGAAAGUGGAAUUCCACGUGUAGCGGUGAAAUGCGUAGAUAUGUGGAGGAACACCAGUGGCGAAGGCGACUUUCUGGACUGUAACUGACGCUGAGGCGCGAAAGCGUGGGGAGCAAACAGGAUUAGAUACCCUGGUAGUCCACGCCGUAAACGAUGAGUGCUAGGUGUAGAGGGUAUCGACCCCUUCUGUGCCGCAGUUAACACAAUAAGCACUCCGCCUGGGGAGUACGGUCGCAAGGCUGAA